GUGCCAGCAGCCGCGGUAAUACCGGCAGCCCGAGUGAUGACCGAUCUUAUUGGGCCUAAAGCGUCCGUGGCUGGCCGCACAAGUCCGUCGGGAAAUCCACUCGCUUAACGAGUGGGCGUCCGGCGGAAACUGUGCGGCUUGGGACCGGAAGAUCCAAGGGGUACGUCCGGGGUAGGAGUGAAAUCCCGUAAUCCUGGACGGACCACCGACGGCGAAAGCACCUUGGAAGGACGGAUCCGACAGUGAGGGACGAAAGCUAGGGUCUCGAACCGGAUUAGAUACCCUUGUAGUCC
rnacentral:rRNA from 1 species